rnacentral:rRNA from 1 species
UACGUAGGGUCCAAGCGUUAUCCGGAAUCACUGGGCGUAAAGCGUGCGUAGGUGGCGCGUUAAGUGUGAUGUUAAAUCGCGGGGCUCAACCCUGUCGAUGCAUCGCAUACUGGCGUGCUAGAGGGAAGCAGAGGCAAGUGGAAUUGGUAGUGUAGCAGUGAAAUGCGUAGAUAUUACCAGGAACACCAAUGGCGAAAGCAGCUGACUGGGGGUGUCCUGACGCUGAGACACGAAAGCCAGGGGAGCGAACGGG